AUGCUCACUACAUGGGUAACAGGAUCAGUUGUACCCCAGACCUCAGCAUCAUGCAAUGUAUCCAGGAAAAAAACCUGCACAAGUAUCCCCUGAAUCUGAAAUAAAAGUUGAAAAUGUUUUUGAAAAAUGCAUCCUUCCAAAAUGGUGACAACUCAUUCCCGGCCAUAGUCUGAAUAAUGUUCCCCAAACAGAUCAGCUAUUCCUCUCUGCACCCUGUGAAUGGAACCUUAUUUGGAAAAACGAAUUUUUGCAGAUGUGUGUAAGGUACAGAUCUUGAGAUGGGCAGAUGAUCCCGCCUGUAGGGGAAACAACUAGAUGAUUAAUAAAUGAGUUGUGGCUUUGUGCACUGAAUGUGGAGAUCUGACACAUUUGCAAAGUUAUUUUUGGGGGGCUGACCUCACUCAUCUGGGCCGGCCUUGGCAGAGGCCGUGGAGGAGAUGCCGGUUCCACUCAACUAGAUAUGCCAGAUGGAAAAAAAAAAAAGUACUUUCAACAAACCCAGAAGUGGUGACUCCUAAAUUGCCAGACAUGGAUCCUAAUGUGAGGAAGACACAAGGAGAUCUGACACACCCACAGAGGAGAAGAAGGUGCGAGAUGGAGCACAAAGAGAAUUCAGAGAGGCUGGCCUUGAGGAUUGGAUUGAUGACUGUGGAGCCACCAGAAGCUGGAGGAGAACCCGGCCUUUGCCAGGACUGUGCCUCAGAACGGGAAGGCUCUGACCAAUGACAGAAUGAGGUGAGUCACCAGCGGACACUGGAAACAAAUGCUCAUUCUUUAUAUCUGGGUCACUGCUUCUUGGUUUGUUGAAAGUACUUUUAUUUUUUUUCCAUCUGGCAUAUCUAUGUGAGCAGAACCAGCAUCUAAACAUACCCUCUGCCAAGGCCGGCACAGAUGAGUGAGGUCAGCUUCAAAAAUAAUUUUCCAAACCUGUCAGAUCUCCAGAUUCAGUGUACAAAGCUAGAACUCAUUGAUUUAUAACAUAGUUGUUUCCCCCUAUAAGCAAACAAAGAGAAUAAAAUCAUUAGCUCGAGGCAAAUGACAGCCCCAAAGAGUGCCUGUUUCCAGGGAAUGCAGUGGAGAAGUUUCUUCAGAGAGGCUGUGGGUUUCUCUCAACUGCAUCAUUACUCUCCAGAAAUUAUUUGGAAUUGGAGGGUAGUGAGUUCUUUUUAACUCGGGAUUCUAGUGAAUUGAGAAUUUU
rnacentral:lncRNA from 1 species